CAACGCCGUAUCUGCCGUCAUUUCAUCUAAUAAACUAUAAGGGCGUUAAAGGGAAAUGUAAGGAACUCUAUAUUAAAAAUUUUGAAAAUUUUAUUUUCCAUGUAUUUAUAUUUUAAUGGUGUUAUUAAAAUAUAGAUUGGGAUACUUACGAAAA